AGGAACUCUAGGCACAGGGGAAGGUAAAAGGGUGGAUGAGAAUUGACAGAAGUGGCAAGUUGAGGCCAGUGAUGUCUAGAGGUAGUGGAGGUGAUUAACCAUCUCAUGCAGGUUGAAUAGUAAAGGAAGUGAGGGCAAGAACUGCCUCAUGAAGAAAACCAAGGAACGAAGAGUCUGAGGAACAUGGGUCCAGAGUGGAAACAGGAGUCAGGAUUCCGGGCAAAAGGUGAAAGAGAAAAACCAACAAACACCGAGGAAAAUCACAAGUUUAUCAGCAGUAAGAAUGGAGAGGAUGGACCCAAAAGACAGAAUAACAGAUUGUGAGGAACUUAGCAAGCUGACGUGGAGAUGUAAGCAGACCCAUCGUUAGCCCCAUCACCUGACAAAGAGAAAAUCCAGGUCAGGACAAUUCAGUUUGGGAUUCAUGCUUGAGUAGCCAGCAGACUGGGUAAAAAUGUCCAGGAGUGUAGCUGAAACUACCCAGUGGGUGGAGCCGAGUGUGGAUAAGGAUGGGGACUCAUCAGCAGAACACACAGCUGACAGCUGUAGCAGCAGAUUACGGCUGAGCGAGAACAAUCCAAGAUGGAAAGACCAGAAGGCUGCGGACCACUUACAUUGGGGCUGGGGAGAAGAGUCAGGAAAGGAGUCGUCUUGAAGGGGUGGUAGAGAUCAUGGGAAGUCAGUUCCACUUCUGGAAAUUUAGCCUAAGAAAUGACCUGCAUAAGAUCCUGUGAGACCAGACAGAACAAUUCCAGUUCAUCCAUACACUGCCAUGGAAUGGAGCUGCUGAACAAAAGGCAGGGAAUCUAGUUGUUCUGACACCUUACAGCGUUGUUCAAGUGAAAACGACAGAGAGAGUACAGGGGAGAAAAGCAGAAAGGGAAAGAGAGAGACAAGCAGACACCAUGGUGAGAUGGAGCCGGAUGUGGGGCUGGAUCUCAUGACCUGAGCCGAAGCCAAGAGUUGGAUGCUUAACCGACUGAGCCACCCGGGUGCCCCUAGUUUUCACCUUCUGAAUAAAAAUCAAGAAUCCAUUUUUGCUUUACGUCCUUAAUUUCCAGAUACCUCAUUAUCUAAACUAGGCAAAAUUAUGUAACAUAGGUUGUCGUAUAAAGCAGCAUUAUCUCUACAGCCAAGGACUCUAAUAU